GGAUGUGAGGACAACUUGGCUGCGACAUCCGUCACUCCAUUGAUCGCCAGGGUUGAUUCAGCUGACCUGACUGGCUAGGCGGGUGUCCCCUUCCUCCCUCACUGCUCCAUGUGCGUACCUCCCAAAGCUCCGCACUGGGUCAAAAAGGAUGGCCUUCCCUGAAUAGAGACGGACCGAUCUUCGGUCGAGGGUAUAUGAGUAGCUGUGCUCCCCUGCUAGAACCUCCAAGCAAGCUCUCAAGAGUCCCAGUUCUGGUAGCUGAGGGGUGGCACAGUAGAUAAAGUAUUGAACUUUGCAGCUUGAGGUCUCAAGUUCUAUCCCCAA
ensembl:misc_RNA 7SK 7SK RNA